rnacentral:rRNA from 1 species
UACGUAGGGGGCAAGCGUUGUCCGGAUUUAUUGGGCGUAAAGAGCGUGUAGGCGGCCAGAUAAGUCCGGUGUGAAAGUCACAGGCUCAAACCUGUGAAUGCCGCUGGAAACUGUCUGGCUCGAGUCCGGGAGGGGCGAGUGGAAUUCCUGGGUGUAGCGGUGAAAUGCGCAGAUAUCAGGAGGAACACCAAUGGCGAAGGCAGCUCGCUGGAACGGUACUGACGCUGAGGCGCGAAAGCGUGGGGAGCGAACAGG